CCUACGGGUGGCAGCAGUAGGGAAUCUUCCACAAUGGGCGAAAGCCUGAUGGAGCAACGCCGCGUGGGUGAAGAAGGUCUUCGGAUCGUAAAACCCUGUUGUUAGAGAAGAAAGUGCGUGAGAGUAACUGUUCCCGUUUCGACGGUAUCUACCCAGAAAGCCACGGCUAACUACGUGCCAGCAGCCGCGGUAAUACGUUGGUGGCAAGCGUUAUCCGGAUUUAUUGGGCGUAAAGGGAACGCGGGCGGUCUUUUAAGUCUGAGGUUAAAGACUUCGGCUUAACCGGAGUAGUGCAUUGGAAACUGGGAGACUGGAGUGCAGAAGAGGAGAGUGGAAAUCCAGGUGUAGCGGUGAAAUGCGUAGAUAUAUGGAAGAACACCAGUGGCGAAAGCGGCUCUCUGGGCUGUAACUGACGCUGAGGUUCGAAAGCGUGGGUAGCAAACAGGAUUAGAUACCCUGGUAGUC
rnacentral:rRNA from 1 species